rnacentral:rRNA from 16 species
CAAAUGACUCUCGGCAAUGGAUAUCUCGGCUCUUGCAUCGAUGAAGAACGUAGUGAAAUGCGAUACUUGGUGUGAAUUGCAGAAUCUCGUGAACCAUUGAGUCUUUGAACGCAAGUUGUGCCCGAGGCCUUGUGGUCGAGGGCACGCCUGCUUGGGCGUCAUGGC